rnacentral:rRNA from 1 species
GUGGGGAAUAUUGGACAAUGGGCGCAAGCCUGAUCCAGCCAUGCCGCGUGUGUGAAGAAGGCCUUUUGGUUGUAAAGCACUUUAAGCGAGGAGGAGGCUCCUUUAGUUAAUACCUAAAGAGAGUGGACGUUACUCGCAGAAUAAGCACCGGCUAACUCUGUGCCAGCAGCCGCGGUAAUACAGAGGGUGCGAGCGUUAAUCGGAUUUACUGGGCGUAAAGCGUGCGUAGGCGGCUUUUUAAGUCGGAUGUGAAAUCCCUGAGCUUAACUUAGGAAGUGCAUUCGAUACUGGAAAGCUAGAGUAUGGGAGAGGAUGGUAGAAUUCCAGGUGUAGCGGUGAAAUGCGUAGAGAUCUGGAGGAAUACCGAUGGCGAAGGCAGCCAUCUGGCCUAAUACUGACGCUGAGGUACGAAAGCAUGGGGAGCAAACAGGAUUAGAAACCCGUGUAGUCC